AUCGAACGCUGGCGGCAGGCCUAACACAUGCAAGUCGAGCGAGCGGCAGACGGGUGAGCAAUGUAUGGGGACUGCCCGAUAGAGGGGGAUAACUACUGGAAACGGUAGCUAAUACCGCAUACUAUCGGAUAACCCAUAUGGGAUUAGCUAGCAGGUGAGGGAAUGGCUCACCUAGGCGACGUUCCCUAGCUGGUCUGAGAGGAUGAUCAGCGACACUGGGAGUGAGACACAGCCCAUACUCCGACGGAGGCAGCAGUGGAGAAUAUUGCACAAUGGGCGCAAGCCUGAUGCAGCCAUGCCGCGUGUAUGAAGAAGGCCCUAGGGUUGUAAAGUACUUUCAGUCGGGAGGCGUUACCAACAGAAGAAGCACCGGCUAACUCCGUGCCAGCAGCCGCGGUAAUUC
rnacentral:rRNA from 1 species